GCCCGGAUGGCGGAACUGGUAGACGCAAGGGACUUAAAAUCCCUCGGCCUAUUGGCUGUGCGAGUUCGAUUCUCGCUCCGGGCA
rnacentral:tRNA from 1 species